GACGAACGCUGGCGGCGUGCUUAACACAUGCAAGUCGAACGGAAAGGCCCUGCUUUUGUGGGGUGCUCGAGUGGCGAACGGGUGAGUAACACGUGAGUAACCUGCCCUUGACUUUGGGAUAACUUCAGGAAACUGGGGCUAAUACCGGAUAGGAGCUCCUGCUUCAUGGUGGGGGUUGGAAAGUUUCGGCGGUUGGGGAUGGACUCGCGGCUUAUCAGCUUGUUGGUGGGGUAGUGGCUUACCAAGGCUUUGACGGGUAGCCGGCCUGAGAGGGUGACCGGCCACAUUGGGACUGAGAUACGGCCAAGAAUCCUACGGGAGGCAGCAGUGGGGAAUAUUGCAAAAUGGGCGGAAGCCUGAUGCAGCAACGCCGCGUGCGGGAUGACGGCCUUCGGGUUGUAAACCGCUUUCGCCUGUGACGAAGCGUGAGUGACGGUAAUGGGUAAAGAAGCACCGGCUAACUACGUG
rnacentral:rRNA from 1 species